GAUGAACGCUGGCGGCGUGCCUAAUACAUGCAAGUCGAGCGAACGGACGAGAAGCUUGCUUCUCUGAUGUUAGCGGCGGACGGGUGAGUAACACGUGGAUAACCUACCUAUAAGACUGGGAUAACUUCGGGAAACCGGAGCUAAUACCGGCUAAUAUUUUGAACCGCAUGGUUCAAAAGUGAAAGACGGUCUUGCUGUCACUUAUAGAUGGAUCCGCGCUGCAUUAGCUAGUUGGUAAGGUAACGGCUUACCAAGGCAACGAUGCAUAGCCGACCUGAGAGGGUGAUCGGCCACACUGGAACUGAGACACGGUCCAGACUCCUACGGGAGGCAGCAGUAGGGAAUCUUCCGCAAAGGGCGAAAGCCUGACGGAGCAACGCCGCGUGAGUGAUGAAGGUCUUCGGAUCGUAAAACUCUGUUAUUAGGGAAGAACAUAUGUGUAAUUAACUGUUCACAGCUUGACGGUACCUAAUCAGAAAGCCACGGCUAACUACGUG
rnacentral:rRNA from 1 species